GCACACUAAAUUCCAGCUAGUCUGGGGGGGGGGGGGCAAACUAAACAAUUUCUAGCUUAACACUAACCUUGUUGGCAAUUGACAACAUGAGAGGACUGACAGUAUAUGAAAGGAGACCAUUGGUCACUGAAUAAAGUCAAGUGUUUAUUCCUGAUGAAUAAUACAGAAAACAAACAGUACAAAAUACCAAAAUUGUUAUCAUCAUUGAUAAAGUCAAGAUACAAGGCCAUGAUUGAUGUAUUCAAAGUGAAAAUUUCAUAAUAUAAAGAUACAAUGUACAUUUGAGAAACAUACAAAACACACAAGUUUCUCCAUGUACAAUUCGACAGCUCAGCUCAACCUGGAUGACCAUCAUCGCCUUUUUUUGGAGUAGGUAGAAGUUGUCCCUAACCACUGAUACAAGGUCAGAGCUUUAGAUUGCAUUUCUAAUGGUCAACUUCAGGAUUGAGGCCAGGGUAAAAUGAUCUUAGAUCUGUUAGGGAGCAACUACCUUUAGCAGGAAUUUCUUUCAACUUUCCCCUCCCCCAAACAAAUCAUGGUAAAUCUCAAUUAUCAAACUAUAAAAAGCACUCGUGGUUUUUGAGCUGCUCGGGUUCGCUGAAGCCUUUUCCACACUGAGAGCACUGGUGGGCGCUGCCGGCCUUGUCUCUGUCUCCACUGUGGAUCAGCUGGUGUCUUUUCAGGUACUCUACCCUGCUGAAACGCCUGCCGCACACCUCGCACCCGUACGGACGCUCGCCCGUGUGGAUCCGCUGGUGCCUCUCCAGCGAGCGCGAGUGUGUGAAGCCCUUCCCACAGAGCUCGCAGCGGUGGGGCCGCUCGGCCGCGCACACACACUCGUGGUUCUUCAGGGCCCAGGCAUGGCUGAAGGCGUGGCCGCAUGAGGCGCAGGGGAAUAGGGUGGCCUCCGUCCCUCCCUGCAGGUGGGUGUCCCCCAGGGGGCAGGGGUGCUCCUCCAGCUCAGCCUCGUUGGCAAAGCCCCCACCGCACUGCAUGCAGAAAUGCAUCAGGUCUCCGGUCUCCUCCUCACCACUAUCAUCCACGCUACCCGGAGCAGAUGGGUGAUGCAGGGCCUCAUCUGAGCCUCCCUGCUCUUCCAUCACCUCACUGUCCCUCAGCCUCUUGGGCCAGCGUGGCUGCAGCGCUCCUCCAGCCCCCCCUGGCAGUGCCCUCUCACUUUCCUUCAGACGGGCACCAGGACCCUGCAGGGCAUCACUAGAGUCCCUCUCUGAGGGUGUGGGACUCCCCAGCGCUCCCUCCUGUUCCAACCCAUCCAGACCAAUGUACUUCUGGCCCAGGCUGAACUCACUGCCUGCCAUUACUUCCGGGUCAGGGCUCAUGGAGCCAUGGUUAGAGCCUGCUGUGGGGGGGAUCCUUAGGGCUGCUUGCUGGCGCCCCCUCUCUGCCCUCAGGGCCGUCUCCAGCCCACUCAAGUCCUCCACGCUCAGCACCCCCUCCGACACCUCUGUUGGAAGGGACCCCACGUCCCACUCCUCCUCAUCCCCCUCUUCAUGCCUCAUUGCUGAGGGCCGCUUCAGGGCCUCCUGGGCCAUAGGGCUGAACUCCAUGUCUCCUACUGGGCAGAGAGAUUGAGAGGGUCUGUUAGAGGAGCA
rnacentral:lncRNA from 1 species